ensembl:antisense Gm12953 predicted gene 12953
UACCAAAGGCAACCAGGAGAAGACUGUCUUCAGGGCAGCUAGGAGGAGGGUCUCAAAGCCUACCCCCACAGUGACACAUCCUCCAACAAGGCCACACAUCUAAUAGUGCCACUCUCUGGGCCAAACAGAUUCAAACACAUGAGUCUAUGGGAGCCAAAUCUCUUCAAACCACAAGUAGGAUUCUUUUCAUGAAAUAUGACUUCAUGAUUGCUAGAUUCUAAUACAGGAUUUUUCAUCUUUUACUUUUCUCAGUAUAAUCAAAACACUGAAAUGUUUAGGUACAUGACUAUACAAUUCACAGACACACAAAAAUGUAAACUAACCUUAUAUGACAUAAUAAGGAUUAGGACAUUUUUCAAAAUAAGUUACUUUGAAAUAAUUUUUUUUUUUUAAAGAUUUAUUUAUUUAUUAUAUGUAAGUACAUUGUAGCUGUCUUCAGACACUCCAGAAGAGGGAAUCAGAUCUCGUUACAGNNNNNNNNNNNNNNNNNNNNNNNNNNNNNNNNNNGCCACCAUGUGGUUGCUGGGAUUUGAACUCUGGACCUUCGGAAGAGCAGUCGGGUGCUCUUACCCACUGAGCCAUCUCACCAGCCCUGAAAUAAUUUUUAUAAUCCCAACACUCAGGAGGCAAAGGUGUGUACUACCGCCAUCUGGCUAAAAGAAAUACUCUUUAGAAAACAAAAACAAAAACUAUGUAUGAAGAAUAAAUUCCUACCUGUGGGGGGGUGGGGGUGGGGAGGAAGGAGCCAAAGGAGGAACAUAAUUGUGAUGCUAAA